GACGAACGCUGGCGGCGCGCUUAACACAUGUAAGUCGAGCGAAGCGGCGGACGGGUGAGUCACACGUGAGUAACCCGCCUUUGACACAGGGAUAGCCUCGGGAAACCGGGAUUAAUACCAGAUAGUCAAAGAUGGACUAGCGGCCCAUUAGCUAGUUGGUGGGUAAUAGCCUACCAAGGCAACGAUGGGUAGCCGGCCUGAGAGGGUGAACGGCCACAUUGGAACUGGGAAACAGUCCAAACUCGACGGGAGGCAGCAGUGGGUAAUAGUGCACAAUGGGGGAAGCCCUGAUGCAGCGACGCCGCGUGAGCGAAGAAGGUUUUCGAAUCGUAAAGCUCUGUCCUAUGGGAAGCGGUACCAUAGGAGAAAGCCCCGGCUAACUACGUGCCAGCAGCCGCGGUAAUAC
rnacentral:rRNA from 1 species